CCAUAUAUCCUCACCUGGCUGAGCCGCAGUAGUUCUUCAGUGGCAAGCUUUAUGUCCUGACCCAGCUAAAGCUGCCAGUUGAAGAACUGUUGCCCUCUGCCCCUGGCUUCGAGGAGGAAG
rnacentral:pre_miRNA from 13 species